CCCAUGCAGUUCAUCGAGCAUGAAUAGGAUAUGCAGGAAAGUAACUAUCAGAUUUGGGAGUGAUGCCCCGCCUUAAAAUGACAACGAAACCGAAAAUUGAUUAGUACUGUGCCUAUUCAGUGGCAAUCAAAGUAGGGAGUAGCUAUGGACCACAGCAUAGGACUUCUGUGGUG
ncrna:unclassified sequences Pseudomonadales-1 RNA